rnacentral:rRNA from 1 species
GAUGAACGCUGGCGGCGUGCCUAAUACAUGCAAGUCGAGCGAACGGACGAGAAGCUUGCUUCUCUGAUGUUAGCGGCGGACGGGUGAGUAACACGUGGAUAACCUACCUAUAAGACUGGGAUAACUUCGGGAAACCGGAGCUAAUACCGGAUAAUAUUUUGAACCGCAUGGUUCAAAAGUGAAAGACGGUCUUGCUGUCACUUAUAGAUGGAUCCGCGCUGCAUUAGCUAGUUGGUAAGGUAACGGCUUACCAAGGCAACGAUGCAUAGCCGACCUGAGAGGGUGAUCGGCCACACUGGAACUGAGACACGGUCCAGACUCCUACGGGAGGCAGCAGUAGGGAAUCUUCCGCAAUGGGCGAAAGCCUGACGGAGCAACGCCGCGUGAGUGAUGAAGGUCUUCGGAUCGUAAAACUCUGUUAUUAGGGAAGAACAUAUGUGUAAGUAACUGUGCACAUCUUGACGGUACCUAAUCAGAAAGCCACGGCUAACUACGUGCCAGCAGCCGCGGUAAUACGUAGGUGGCAAGCGUUAUCCGGAAUUAUUGGGCGUAAAGCGCGCGUAGGCGGUUUUUUAAGUCUGAUGUGAAAGCCCACGGCUCAACCGUGGAGGGUCAUUGGAAACUGGAAAACUUGAGUGCAGAAGAGGAAAGUGGAAUUCCAUGUGUAGCGGUGAAAUGCGCAGAGAUAUGGAGGAACACCAGUGGCGAAGGCGACUUUCUGGUCUGUAACUGACGCUGAUGUGCGAAAGCGUGGGGAUCAAACAGGAUUAGAUACCCUGGUAGUCCACGCCGUAAACGAUGAGUGCUAAGUGUUAGGGGGUUUCCGCCCCUUAGUGCUGCAGCUAACGCAUUAAGCACUCCGCCUGGGGAGUACGACCGCAAGGUUGAAACUCAAAGGAAUUGACGGGGACCCGCACAAGCGGUGGAGCAUGUGGUUUAAUUCGAAGCAACGCGAAGAACCUUACCAAAUCUUGACAUCCUUUGACAACUCUAGAGAUAGAGCCUUCCCCUUCGGGGGACAAAGUGACAGGUGGUGCAUGGUUGUCGUCAGCUCGUGUCGUGAGAUGUUGGGUUAAGUCCCGCAACGAGCGCAACCCUUAAGCUUAGUUGCCAUCAUUAAGUUGGGCACUCUAAGUUGACUGCCGGUGACAAACCGGAGGAAGGUGGGGAUGACGUCAAAUCAUCAUGCCCCUUAUGAUUUGGGCUACACACGUGCUACAAUGGACAAUACAAAGGGCAGCGAAACCGCGAGGUCAAGCAAAUCCCAUAAAGUUGUUCUCAAUUCGGAUUGUAGUCUGCAACUCGACUACAUGAAGCUGGAAUCACUAGUAAUCGUAGAUCAGCAUGCUACGGUGAAUACGUUCCCGGGUCU